UACGUAGGUGGCAAGCGUUGUCCGGAUUUACUGGGCGUAAAGAGCGCGCAGGCGGUCGUUCAAGUCGCGUGUGAAAGCCCCCCGGCUCAACUGGGGAGGGUCACGCGAUACUGAUCGACUCGAAGGCAGGAGAGGGAAGUGGAAUUCCCGGUGUAGUGGUGAAAUGCGUAGAUAUCGGGAGGAACACCAGUGGCGAAGGCGACUUCCUGGCCUGUUCUUGACGCUGAGGCGCGAAAGCGUGGGGAGCAAUCCGG
rnacentral:rRNA from 1 species